rnacentral:rRNA from 1 species
UGGGGAAUAUUGCACAAUGGGGGAAACCCUGAUGCAGCGACGCCGCGUGAACGAAGAAGGUAUUCGUAUCGUAAAGUUCUGUCCUAUGGGAAGAUAAUGACAGUACCAUAGAAGAAAGCUCCGGCUAAAUACGUGCCAGCAGCCGCGGUAAUACGUAUGGAGCGAGCGUUGUCCGGAAUUAUUGGGCGUAAAGGGUACGCAGGCGGUUUAAUAAGUCGAAUGUUAAAGAUCGGGGCUCAACCCCGUAAAGCAUUGGAAACUGAUAAACUUGAGUAGUGGAGAGGAAAGUGGAAUUCCUAGUGUAGUGGUGAAAUACGUAGAUAUUAGGAGGAAUACCAGUAGCGAAGACGACUUUCUGGACACAAACUGACGCUGAGGUACGAAAGCGUGGGGAGCAAACAGG